rnacentral:rRNA from 1 species
AUUGAACGCUGGCGGCAGGCCUAACACAAGCCAGUCGAACGGUAACAGGAAGAAGCUUGCUUCUUUGCUGACGAGUGGCGGACGGGUGAGUAAUGUCUGGGAAACUGCCUGAUGGAGGGGGAUAACUACUGGAAACGGUAGCUAAUACCGCAUAACGUCGCAAGACCAAAGAGGGGGACCUUCGGGCCUCUUGCCAUCGGAUGUGCCCAGAUGGGAUUAGCUAGUAGGUGGGGUAACGGCUCACCUAGGCGACGAUCCCUAGCUGGUCUGAGAGGAUGACCAGCCACACUGGAACUGAGACACGGUCCAGACUCCUACGGGAGGCAGCAGUGGGGAAUAUUGCACAAUGGGCGCAAGCCUGAUGCAGCCAUGCCGCGUGUAUGAAGAAGGCCUUCGGGUUGUAAAGUACUUUCAGCGGGGAGGAAGGGAGUAAAGUUAAUACCUUUACUCAUUGACGUUACCCGCAGAAGAAGCACCGGCUAACUCCGUG